UUUGUAGAGGAUGCUUCGGGUGCGGCCCCUGUCUAAGUGCCCUGGAACGGGCCAUCGGAGAGGGUGAGAAUCCCGUCUGGGAUGGGGUGUCCGUGCCCGUGUGAAGCUCCUUCGACGAGUCGAGUUGUUUGGGAAUGCAGCUCUAAAUGGGUGGUAAAUUUCAUCUAAAGCUAAAUACUGGCCGGAGACCGAUAGCGCACAAGUAGAGUGAUCGAAAGAUGAAAAGCACUUUGAAAAGAGAGUUAAACAGCACGUGAAAUUGUUGAAAGGGAAGCGCUUGCGACCAGACUCGCCCACGGGGUUCAGCCGGCUUUCGGGCCGGUGUACUUCCCCGGGGGCGGGCCAGCGUCGGUUUGGGCGGCCGGUCAAAGGCCCCCGGAAUGUAACGCCCCUCCGGGGGCGUCUUAUAGCCGGGGGUGUCAUGCGGCCAGCCUAGACCGAGGAACGCGCUUCGGCACGGACGCUGGCAUAAUGGUCGCAAACGACCCGUCUUGAAACACGGACCAAGGAGUCUAACAUCUACGCGAGUGUUCGGGUGGCAAACCCGUGCGCGCAGUGAAAGCGAACGGAGGUGGGAGCCCCCUCGAGGGGCGCACCAUCGACCGAUCCUG
rnacentral:rRNA from 2 species